CACUUCUAAGGAAGGCAGCAGGCGCGCAAAUUACCCAAUCCUGACUCAGGGAGGUAGUGACAAGAAAUAACAAUAAACCGGCUUAUGCCGGUUUAAUUGGAAUGAGUACAAUUUAAACAUCUUAACGAGGAACAAUUGGAGGGCAAGUCUGGUGCCAGCAGCCGCGGUAAUUCCAGCUCCAAUAGCGUAUACUAAAGUUGUUGCAGUUAAAAAGCUCGUAGUUGGAUUUCUGUGGGGACGGAGCGGCCGGCCGCACAUCGCGGUUCGAGCUAGCGCUUUCCCUACAUCCUGCCGCGAACCGUGCUACCAUUAAUUUGGUGGCGCCGGGGAUCGGCUCGAUUACUUUGAGAAAAAUAGAGUGUUCAAAGCAGGCCACAUGCCUUGAAUAAGUUAGCAUGGAAUAAUAACUAAGGACUUCGGUUCUAUUUUGUUGGUGUUCGGGACUGAAGUAAUGAUUGAUAGGGACAGUUGGGGCGGUCUGUAUUCCAAAGCGAGAGGUGAAAUUCUUAGACCUUCGGAAGACAAACAGCUGCGAAAGCGUUCCGCAAGGAUGUUCCCUUUGAUCAAGAACGAAAGUUGGGGGAUCGAAGACGAUCAGAUACCGUCGUAGUCUCAACUAUAAACUAUACCAGCUAGGGAUCGGCCAACGUUAUUUCAUACCGACUUGGUCGGCACCUUAUGAGAAAUCAAAGCAUCUGGGUUCCGGGGGGAGUAUGGUCGCAAGGCUGAAACUUAAAGGAAUUGACGGAAGGGCACCACCAGCCGUGGAGCCUGUGGCUUGAUUUGACUCAACACGGGAAAACUUACCAGGUCCAGACAUAGUAAGGAUUGACAGAUUGAUAGCUCUUUCUUGAUUCUGUGGGUGGUGGUGCAUGGCCGUUCUUAGUUGGUGGAGUGAUUUGUCUGGUUAAUUCCGUUAACGAACGAGACCCCAGCCUGCUAAAUAGCGCGCGUGAGCUUUGCUCGCGGCGAGCUUCUUAGAGGGACUCUGAUGCGCGAUAGCACAUGGAAGUUUGGGGCAAUAACAGGUCUGUGAUGCCCUUAGAUGUUCUGGGCCGCACACGGGCUACACUGGCGCCUGCAUCGAGCAUAUCAGCUGGCCCGAGAGGGUCUUGGCUAAUCUUUUGAACCGGCGCCGUGCUUGGGAUUGACCUUUGCAAUUGUUGGUCAUGCAACGAGGAAUGCCUUGUAAACGCGAGUCAUCAGCUCGCAUUGAAUACGUCCCUGCCCUUUGUACACACCGCCCGUUGCUCCUACCGAUGAAUGUUCCGAUGAAAUUUUCGGAGAGCACCUGUGAACUUGGCUCUGCCUUGCGAACGGGAGGCUCAAAGUCACUUAAAUCUGAACAUUUCGAGG
rnacentral:rRNA from 1 species